rnacentral:misc_RNA from 1 species
GAUGAAGAACGUAGCGAAAUGCGAUAAGUAGUGUGAAUUGCAGAAUUCAGUGAAUCAUCGAAUCUUUGAACGCACAUUGCGCCCCUUGGUAUUCCAUGGGGCAUGCCUGUUCGAGCGUCAUUUCAACCCUCAAGCUCUGCUUGGUAUUGGGCUCCGUCCUCCUCGGACGCGCCUCAAAGACCUCGGCGGUGGCGUCUUGCCUCAAGCGUAGUAGAAACACCUCGCUUUGGAGUGCAUGGCGUCGCCCGCCGGACGAAACCUUUUGUAUUUUCUCAAAGGUUGACCUCGGAUCAGGUAGGGAUACCCGCUGAACUUAAGCAUAUCAAUAAGCGGAGGA